rnacentral:Y_RNA from 1 species
GGCUGGUUUGAAUGCAGUGGUAUUUACAACUAACUGAUCACAACCAGUUACAGAUUUAUUUGUUUCUUCUCCACUCCCACUGCUUCACUUGACUAGCCUUUG